AGUGAACGCUGGCGGUAGGCCUAACACAUGCAAGUCGAACGGCAGCACAGUAAGAGCUUGCUCUUACGGGUGGCGAGUGGCGGACGGGUGAGGAAUACAUCGGAAUCUACUUUUUCGUGGGGGAUAACGUAGGGAAACUUACGCUAAUACCGCAUACGACCUACGGGUGAAAGCAGGGGAUCGUCGGACCUUGCGCGAUUGAAUGAGCCGAUGUCGGAUUAGCUAGUUGGCGGGGUAAAGGCCCACCAAGGCGACGAUCCGUAGCUGGUCUGAGAGGAUGAUCAGCCACACUGGAACUGAGACAGGGUCCAGACUCCUACGGGAGGCAGCAGUGGGGAAUAUUGGGCAAUGGGCGCAAGCCUGAUCCAGCAAUACCGCGUGGGUGAAGAAGGCCUUCGGGUUGUAAAGCCCUUUUGUUGGGAAAGAAAAGCAGCAGGUUAAUACCCCGCUGUUCUGACGGUACCCAAAGAAUAAGCACCGGCUAACUUCGUG
rnacentral:rRNA from 1 species